UACGAAGGGUGCAAACGUUGCUCGGAAUCAUUGGGCGUAAAGAGCUCGUAGGCGGUCUGUCGCGUCGAAUGUGAAACCCCGAGGCUCAACCUCGGGUCUGCAUUCGAUACGGGCAGACUAGAGUUCGGUAGGGGAGUCUGGAAUUCCUGGUGUAGCGGUGAAAUGCGCAGAUAUCAGGAGGAACACCGGUGGCGAAGGCGGGACUCUGGGCCGAUACUGACGCUGAGGAGCGAAAGCGUGGGGAGCGAACAGG
rnacentral:rRNA from 1 species